rnacentral:tRNA from 1 species
GCGGGAAUAGCUCAGUUGGUAGAGCAUAACCUUGCCAAGGUUGGGGUCGCGAGUUCGAGUCUC